rnacentral:rRNA from 1 species
AAUUCUGAUGCAAUCCUUGGCUGCGAGCUUUCACAACACACACACUUAGUCAAGUAUUAGAAUGUGAACCGUUUGCGGCGUGUAACAGCGUCGGAAAUAUACAACUUUCAGCAACGGAUCUCUUGGCUCUCGCAUCGAUGAAGAACGCAGCGAAAUGCGAUAAGUAAUGUGAAUUGCAGAAUUCAGUGAAUCAUCGAAUCUUUGAACGCACCUUGCGCUCCUUGGUAUUCCGAGGAGCAUGCCUGUUUGAGUGUCAUGAAAUUCUCAACUGCCUUUUGUGGGCUUUUUGGCUCCUACGAGGGUGAAGUUGGAUAUGGAGGAUGAUGUUGCUGGCGCUCUUCAGUGAGCUUGUCGGCUCCUCUUGAAUGCAUGUGCCUUGAUUGCAAAGCGACUCCGAUGUGAUAAUUAUCUACGUUGGACGUUGAGGUUUUGCUUAGGGCACCGAUGGAGUGCGUGAUGGCGUCUUCCGAGACGGCACCGCUUGAUAAAUUUGACCUCAAAUCAGGUAGGACUACCCGCUGAACUUAAGCAUAUCAAUAAGCGGAGGCGUGAUAAUUGUCUACGUCGUGGAGA